rnacentral:misc_RNA from 1 species
GAUGAAGAUCGUAGCGAAAUGCGAUAAGUAAUGUGAAUUGCAGAAUUCAGUGAAUCAUCGAAUCUUUGAACGCACAUUGCGCCCCUUGGUAUUCCGAGGGGCAUGCCUGUUCGAGCGUCAUUAUAACCCCUCAAGCUCAGCUUGGUGUUGGGGCCUGCUGCACUGGCAGCCCUUAAAAUCAGUGGCGGCGCCAUCUGGCUCUAAGCGUAGUAAUUCUUCUCGCUAUGGAGUCCUGGUGGAUGCUUGCCAUCAACCCCCAAUUUUUCUAUGGUUGACCUCGGAUCAGGUAGGGAUACCCGCUGAACUUAAGCAUAUCAAUAAGCGGAGGA